AGUGAACGCUGGCGGUAGGCCUAACACAUGCAAGUCGAACGGCAGCACAGUAAGAGCUUGCUCUUACGGGUGGCGAGUGGCGGACGGGUGAGGAAUACAUCGGAAUCUACUUUUUCGUGGGGGACAACGUAGGGAAACUUACGCUAAUACCGCAUACGACCUACGGGUGAAAGCAGGGGAUCUUCGGACCUUGCGCGAUUGAAUGAGCCGAUGUCGGAUUAGCUAGUUGGCGGGGUAAAGGCCCACCAAGGCGACGAUCCGUAGCUGGUCUGAGAGGAUGAUCAGCCACACUGGAACUGAGACACGGUCCAGACUCCUACGGGAGGCAGCAGUGGGGAAUAUUGGACAAUGGGCGCAAGCCUGAUCCAGCCAUACCGCGUGGGUGAAGAAGGCCUUCGGGUUGUAAAGCCCUUUUGUUGGGAAAGAAAAGCAGCAGGUUAAUACCCCGCUGUUCUGACGGUACCCAAAGAAUAAGCACCGGCUAACUUCGU
rnacentral:rRNA from 1 species